CAGAACCAGAACCAGAACCUGGUACUGGGUCAUGAUGAGUUGGAGGAUUUUAGUGUUGAAGCAUCAAUCAUUGAUUAUAGAUUUGUUCCUGUCAGAUUCCAGAAGCUGAUAUUCACUUUUCUAGACUGGGUUGAAUGACCUUUGACCUGCUCCACAUGAGGGGGAUUUCUACACACUGGGGGUCCGAAUGCCGUCUGGUUCUGACCUCAUAUUAUCAGUGAAUCCCUAUUUUAUAUCAUGAGUAGUGGUGGUAGGAGGUGAGGAGAGACGCUGAAACCCAGUGAAGAUGAUGAUAUGUUUAAUAAUAAUGAUGCUCGGACAGUCCAAUACAGGCAGCAGGGCAGAG